rnacentral:piRNA from 1 species
UAACUACGUCCCCAAGAAAUUGAAGAGUUU